UGGGGAAUUUUCCGCAAUGGGCGAAAGCCUGACGGAGCAAUACCGCGUGAGGGAUGAAAGCCUGUGGGUUGUAAACCUCUUUUCUCAAGGAAGAAGUUCUGACGGUACUUGAGGAAUAAGCAUCGGCUAACUCUGUGCCAGCAGCCGCGGUAAUACAGAGGAUGCAAGCGUUAUCCGGAAUCACUGGGCAUAAAGCGUCUGUAGGUGGUUUGAUAAGUCUGCUGUUAAAGACUAGGGCUUAACCCUAGGACAGCAGUGGAAACUGUUAGACUUGAGUAUGGUAGAGGUAGAGGGAAUUCCUAGUGUAGCGGUGAAAUGCGUAGAUAUUAGGAAGAACACCAAUGGCGAAAGCACUCUACUGGGCCACAACUGACACUGAGAGACGACAGCUAGGGGAGCAAAUGGGAUUAGAUACCCCAGUAGU
rnacentral:rRNA from 1 species